GCCAGCAUGGCUCAACGGUAGAGCAACUGAUUUGUAAUCAGUAGGUUGCGGGUUCGAUUCCUGCUGCUGGCACCA
rnacentral:tRNA from 1 species